AUGUGUGGAAACAAAAUUGAAACGGCAGGAUGUGUGCAUCGUAGACCAGAUAAGAUAGCGUGGGUCUCACUCAAGUGUAAUUAUUAUCCGCCUCAUACUACUUGCUCAGAGAGAGAGAGAGAGAAUGGGAACUGCAAUAUCAAAUAUGUUGGGGGCAGGUGAAGGGAAUGAAUCCGAGCAUAGUGGCGUCACUAAGUUGAGCUCAUCAGCUCAGUGGCAGCUUCACUUCAACGGGAUGAAAGAUUCGAACCAGCUGCUGGUGAUUGACUUCUCCGCAAGCUGGUGUGGGCCUUGUAAGUCCUUCGAGCCCGCGGUCAGACACAUGGCUGUCAAGUUCACUGAUGUUAGCUUCGUCAAGGUGGAUGUCGAUGAGCUUCCCGAGGUGGCUAAAGAGUUCGACGUGACGGCGAUGCCAACUUUUGUGCUGAUGAAAAAUGGUAAAGAGGUUGACAGGAUCGUUGGAGCCAAACAAGAUGAACUUGAGAAUAAAGUUACCAAACACAGGGGGGGGGACAGUGAUGAUGAUCAUCAUCAAGUUAAGAAAACCCUCUUCAGUUAUAAUAAUAAUAAGCCAUUGUGUAAUAAAACCUAUAUAAAUAAAUGGCUUUUUGGUGAUUCCUAUUUGUCCCUUAUGUGUGAUUUGAUUAAAAAAUGGUUUGUUGAAAAAGUUUUAAACUCUGUUAUAUGAUAUAAUUAAGUUUAUGCUUAUGUGCAUUUGGAAUCUAUUUUAGCGUCUGGCUUAAGCGUAUGAAUAGGCUGCAUAUUCACUUUUCUUGUGGUGUGCCAACAGAUGGUGAAGUGAUAAAUGGCAUGAGAAGAGAUGUUAAUGUCUUGAUCUUCCUAGACAUCAAGAAAGCUCUUGAAGAUGGAACUGCUUUCUACAUUUCAGACAAUAAGGUGGUUCUGACUGAAGGCAUUGAUGGUGUAGUGUCUGUUGAUUACUUCAAAAAGAUAGAGUCUUGGUCUAGUAGGCAACAAAUACAUUUCUGAUUUUUGUACACUUCUGUAUUUUUGGUUGAUGAAAUCAAUAUUAGUUCAGAGUUGCAAUAGUUAUAAUUUAUAAUCUUGAUUUAAGUUUCA